rnacentral:rRNA from 1 species
UGGGGAAUUGUUCACAAUGGGCGCAAGCCUGAUGACGCAACGCCGCGUGGAGGAUGAAGGUCUUCGGAUUGUAAACUCCUGUUGCUCGGGACGAAAUGCUCCAACCUAAUACGUUGGAGUUUGACGGUACCGAGUGAGGAAGCCCCGGCUAACUCUGUGCCAGCAGCCGCGGUAAUACAGAGGGGGCAAGCGUUGUUCGGAAUUACUGGGCGUAAAGGGCGCGUAGGCGGCCUGUUAAGUCGAACGUGAAAUCCCCGGGCUCAACCCGGGAACUGCGUCCGAAACUGGCAGGCUCGAAUUCGGGAGAGGGAUGCGGAAUUCCAGGUGUAGCGGUGAAAUGCGUAGAUAUCUGGAGGAACAUCGGUGGCGAAGGCGGCAUCCUGGACCGAUAUUGACGCUGAGGCGCGAAAGCCAGGGGAGCAAACGGGACUAGAUACCCCGGUAGUCCUGGCCCUAAACGAUGAAUGCUUGGUGUGGCGGGUAUCGAUCCCUGCCGUGCCGAAGCUAACGCAUUAAGCAUUCCGCCUGGGGAGUACGGUCGCAAGGCUG